AGUUCUUGUCACACAAGAAUGCUCAAUUGAAAUAACAUCAUGAAUGGUGUCUGAAUUAUCUAGAUCAAUUCUCCCGUAUGUGUUGUUUUCUGGUAGUCAACAGACUAAGCUUCAAUCAAGCUAGGUAAUUAUCUGGAUAAGUGAGACAACUAGUAAUAGCAAAACCCAAAUCUACAGUAACCCAGACAUAAGUGAACUCACUAGGACAAUUUAGGCUGAUGCAGAUGGAGGAGAUGAAGGAACCAGAGUACAGUAUCCAAAUAGUUUCAUGACAGUCUUGGCUCAUGCGAUACUGUUACACCAAAAGAAAAAAAAAAGAAAGAAAAGAAAAAAGAAUUACUGCCUACAGAGGAGUAAAGAGGUAGGGACAAGGCUAAGUAGAAGAAUUCUGAGGUCAUUCCUCAGUGUUCUAGCUGGAGGCUUCUAAAGCAUUAUGAGCUGUGUGGUCAAGUUCAAUACUAAGAACAUGGCCUUAGAAUGUAAAAAUGAAUGGCCACUUCCAGGUAUGGCUGAGAAGGGUGAAAAUGCAUGCACCCACAGACACACACACACACCGUGGAAAUGAGGAAAAGUUACUUCUCUCUGUUGUAAAUUUAAAUGCAGUCCAGAGUAGUGAAGGCCGUUUGUAAGGUCUGCUGAGCUAAUGGAUUCAUAAUGACUUUUAAAGCUUCACUCGGUACAUCCUAUGUGCCAGACACUGCGAUAGGUUCUGGAGAUAACAACAGUGUCCAAGAAACAACAGUGUCCAAGAAACAGGACUUUCCCUCAAAGAGCUUACUGGGGAAGCCAGCAAGACCAGCAGACAAACACAG
rnacentral:lncRNA from 1 species